rnacentral:rRNA from 1 species
GAUGAACGCUAGCGGCAGGCUUAAUACAUGCAAGUCGUGGGGCAGCAGGGUUGUAGCAAUACAAUCGCUGGCGACCGGCAAACGGGUGCGUAACACGUACGCAACCUUCCCGUUACUGUGGCAUAGCCCAGGGAAACUUGGAUUAAUACCACAUAUUAUAUUGGAGAGGCAUCUCUCUGAUAUCAAAGCUUCGGCGGUAACGGAUGGGCGUGCGGUUGAUUAGGUAGUUGGCGGGGUAACGGCCCACCAAGCCUACGAUCAAUAGCUGAUGUGAGAGCAUGAUCAGCCACACGGGCACUGAGACACGGGCCCGACUCCUACGGGAGGCAGCAGUAAGGAAUAUUGGGCAAUGGACGCAAGUCUGACCCAGCCAUGCCGCGUGAAGGAUUAAGGUCCUCUGGAUUGUAAACUUCUUUUCUCUGGGGCGAAAACCAGCUAAGCUUAGCUAUUUGACAGUACCAGAGGAAUAAGCACCGGCUAACUCCGUGCCAGCAGCCGCAGUAA